AGAGUUUGAUCCUGGCUCAGAUUGAACGCUGGCGGCAUGCCUUACACAUGCAAGUCGAGCGCGAAAGGGGGCAACCCCGAGUAGAGCGGCGGACGGGUGAGUAACGCAUCGGAACGUGCCCAGUAGUGGGGGACAACCUCGAGAAAUCGAGGCUAAUACCGCAUACGACCCACGGGUGAAAGCGGGGGACCGCAAGGCCUCGCGCUAUUGGAGCGGCCGAUGUCCGAUUAGCUAGUUGGCGGGGUAAGAGCCCACCAAGGCGACGAUCGGUAGCUGGUCUGAGAGGACGACCAGCCACACUGGGACUGAGACACGGCCCAGACUCCUACGGGAGGCAGCAGUGGGGAAUUUUGGACAAUGGGGGCAACCCUGAUCCAGCCAUGCCGCGUGCGGGAAGAAGGCCUUCGGGUUGUAAACCGCUUUCGGCCGGAACGAAAUCGCACCCGUGAAUAUCGGGUGUGGAUGACGGUACCGAAGAAGAGAC
rnacentral:rRNA from 1 species